rnacentral:lncRNA from 1 species
CCCAUCUCUACCACCGUGCAUGAUCCCAUCUGGCCAUCCCCAAAUCUUACAAAAUAUCGUGCUUCCAGCAAGUUUAAGCUCUCUAGACCUCAAGGGACAAACUCACACCGCCACAACUCCCACAAAAUCCUAUAUGCUUGAGAAAAAACCUCAAUCGAAGCCUAAAAACCCCUCCGAUCUCUUUUAGGUGCUCUCCUUUUCUAAUCGAGACUAACACAGUUGCAACUCACACAAAAUCUCAAAUGCUCAAGAAAAAACCCCAACCAGAACCUAAAGAACCCCU